rnacentral:rRNA from 1 species
AUUGAACGCUGGCGGCAUGCCUAACACAUGCAAGUCGAACGGCAGCACAGCAGUAGCAAUACUGUGGGUGGCGAGUGGCGGACGGGUGAGGAAUACGUCGGAAUCUGCCCAGUCGUGGGGGAUAACUAGCCGAAAGGUUAGCUAAUACCGCAUACGACCGAGAGGUGAAAGCGGGGGGACCGCAAGGCCUCGCGCGAUUGGAUGAGCCGACGUCGGAUUAGCUAGUUGGCGGGGUAAAGGCCCACCAAGGCGACGAUCCGUAGCUGGUCUGAGAAGAUGAUCAGCCACACUGGAACUGAGACACGGUCCAGACUCCUACGGGAGGCAGCAGUGGGGAAUAUUGGACAAUGGGCGCAAGCCUGAUCCAGCAAUGCCGCGUGUGUGAAGAAGGCCUCGG